GCACAGGUGCAGGUGUGUGGUGUGGAGGCCCCCGUGGCAGUGGGGGCAGACCGUGGAAGUGAGGUCACUGUCAUCCUUUGAACCAGGUGGUAUUUGCCGUCUGUGAUCUUAGCCUCUCCAGCCUACUUUUUGUAGUUUAUCAUAAUUCCUUUGCUUCGCUUUUCUUAACUAGUGGAAAUCAGGAGUUUAAUAAAUUAUAAAUACCACCCUGAAGAGAAAAAAUACUUGUGUGUACUCUUCACUGUAAGUAAAUGAUUAACAGCACUUUUUCAUGAACUUGAAAAAAACCUAUAUUUUUUUUUAAUGCGUCAAACUUUCUCUUUAAAUCUCUUUAAAUAGUUAAUUUCCUAACCUUUGCUACCUGGAAAUUUCACCAGUGUUAAAAAUAGGUUCUGUUAAAGGGAAACAAAUUCGGUCGCCUCAAGAUCAUUUCUUUGCCAGUCUUAUUCCCACUUGAAGCUCCAGUCGGGCUGUUCGGGAGCGAUGAACUUGUUCGUUGCUGGUCUGAGGGCAGGGGGCAGCCCAGGGGGGAGUCACCCUGGCCAGCUGACCUCCUUCUGUUUGGAUGCGCUUCCUUUCUGUAGACAUCUUCCGCUGGCACUCGGCCAGGUUGCUGAGCGAGAGGCGGAGUGCGAUGGUAGGAAGCCUGCUUUCAAAGAGCAGGUUUGUGCUUCUGGGUAUCCUCGAACUGUUGGGAAAACUCACCUCCCAGUAGAAAGCGCAUCGUUAUCAGGGCUGUAAACGUAGGACUAAAAUUUCCCUGCUGGAAGCUGUUCCUUUUCUCGUUCCAUACGGUCCUCUCUGCCCUCCGUCUGCUGUCUGAUCUGUCACCAGACUGGUUUCUUGGGUUGGUUCCUGCCUCCGCUGGAAAGAGUUAACACAGGGCGCCCUAGGCAAGGACUCACCCCGAUUCUGCCCCUGUGUGCCGCCCAGGCGUCCCGCUGCCCCGAGUCCUUGGUCUCCUGGCCCCUGGCCGAGUGGGUUAUACUUCGAGCGUCCCCUUUGGCUCUGGUCGCGGCCCCCGAGGCCUCGGCUGACCCACCGCGGCUUCCUCGGUCGGAGCUCUGUUACUCUUCCGCACGUGGCCACAGUCACAGUGGCGCGGACAGUCGCAUCACUCUAGGUCGCCAGGCACCUUGUGCAUGCCCUCUGAUUUCGUCCUCGCAGCAGCCCGCUGAGCGUGGUCUUGUUUUCACCAUCGGAGAGAUAAGUAAAUGGAUGCCCAGAGAAGUGGCCAGAGGGCAGCGUUGACUCCGGAGCCCUUUCUCUCCUGACUCUGGCUUUCCCACCUCCUUUCUAACCUUGCUUUGACCCUCAGCACACAAGGCACCUGUCCAGAGCAGUGGUUUUCGGCAUCAGACCUGUUCCUCGGAUGCUCCGUGUGAGGACUUUGGGCCUCGCUGUUCCUCGGCUCUAGCUGCUCAUGCCUCCCCUGGAGCCCGAGACUUUCUGGGCACAGGGCUGGCUGGAGUCCUGCUUGGUGGUGUGGCUGCUGAGAUUUUCCAAGGAAGGAAAUGCCCUCGGCAAGCUGAGGGGGGUCCUGCCAAGUGGCUUGCUCAUGGCCUCUCCGGUGUCACAAGGGCCAUGUGCUGGACAGUCCACUGGCCCCAAGACCGCUGCUUCAGUAAACUGCACUGAAGUGGUGUGCCAAACACCAGCUGAAUCCGCCCGCGACCUCGGAAACCGUGCCCCUGGGGCAGUUGUCUCUGCACUGGGUCUGCCUGCUGCAGCACGGCCUUGAGGGCAACAGCCCAGCCUGUCCAGCCCUGGGACCAAACAGCCCCAGAGAGGAUGGGGCGGGGGUGCAGGGGAAGGAUGCUGCCGGGCCUGCGUUUCUGGGGCCCCUCACAGUUCACAGAGCUGCUUCCUGUGCAGGGUCCUCCAGCUUCCCCCCCGUGGAACAGGGGUCACCCCGUGUUUCUCUCCGGAGACUGAGGCUCUGAGUGACAGUCACCCUGGCUCCAGAGCUCCAACUCAGAACCUGCUGGCUCUCCUGCCAGCUCAUGCAGUGAACUACUGAUCUGGGGAAGCGACGGCUUCAGAAUUUUUGGUGAAGCUCACAGACUCACCACUGGUCAUAAUGAAUCUGGAUCCCGCAAGCAGUGGGCUCUUCUCAGCAGUGUGAACGCAGUAAUUUCCUUAAGGCGGUCAGAUGAGAAGGGCCUCGCAUAGGUAAUAUCACUGAUGCAUGAGCUGCGAAAAUGAAAACUUUGGUCAGAACUCGGGCCUCUUUCCAGCGUGGAUAAAGUCGCCUAGAGCAUGAUGGGAACAUCCGAAACUAAUUUGUCUGAUUAAAACGAGAAAUUUAUACAAAUUAGAAAAUUAGGAAGCCAGUUUAUAAUGAAAGGCAUUAAAUAGAGAAUGUAAAUGUUAUUUCUGUGGUCUGUCUGGUAUUACCUUUUAAGGCAGAUAACGUAUCCCCAGGAAACUGUGAAACGGAGGAGUAAAUCCUCCACGCUCCGCGUUGGGCGGCCUGAGCGGCGCGAGCUGGGCUCUCCGCGCGGGGAGGGCGGCCGGCAUGCGGACGACAGGUGCCCGCAAUUUGUGUCCCGAGUCCUGUAAGUACCUUUAAUCAGCCUCUUCUAAGUCAAACCAGAUGAUGUGCAGACAUGGACCUUUUUCCCUUCGGUAUCGAGUGCUUUUCCCUUUGCUCCGGCGGAAUUAGCGGUGCCCAGCUGUGAAGCGAGGCUGGCCUCGUGUUACCAAAAAGUGGAUCAAAUAUCUACAGGGUUGCAGUGCAUUGCAUGGGCAUGGUGUCACGUCCCUGUUCCCUGUCCCUGACGGUGGGUCUCUGAAGAAUACAUCGGGUACCUGCCUCUUGUUCUCUUCUCAGUUCGGCUAUAAAUAAGUGAGUUGCUGCAUCACAUGUUGCGGGGUGACCACUCUGUUGGGCUCCUGCAGCGCCAGCCCAGCCACCGGGGGGAUGGCUUCAUCUCUUGGCCCCAAAUUUGUGAGCAGCCACUUUGGAGAGACUGAUGCUUGGCGUUGAUGUCACUUACUGCCUUUUCAUCGAAGAUGGAGAAAGCGAACCAAACCAGAGCCGUAUCCUAAGAAUAUUCCACAAGAAGUUUCACGUUGUUCUCCCCCCCCCGCCCCCCGCCUAGAUUCCAUGGGCAUAGAAUUAAGAAGCUGAGAUUUCCAUAGGACCAUCCAGAGUUGAUUAUUUUUUCUCAGUCCGUCUGCGGUGAGUAUGGAUCUGCUGCCGCCAGCCCCGCUCUCCUUUGUGGGCGAAUGUUUGUCCUCACAGGCCGUGUUGCCCAUGAACUUUGGGGCCUCUCGACAGUCAGGAUGAUGCAUUCAUUUCAUAGCCCCCAGUGGUCGGAUAACGACUUGUGGGAGUUGCCCAGAGAGAGGUGGUGGCUGUCACGGCCCUGCCGGCGGUGGUCCAGGGCCAAGACCCUUGCUGCUCCGGCCUCUGGGCUUUGGUUUCUGUCUCCGUCAGAACACAGAGCCUCCUCGCCCACUCUGGAGGGGCUGGGGAGGGUUGGGCGCUCACGCUGUGUGAAUGUGCCAAACACUGGGGAUGGUUUGUUUGAUAAGUCAGCACCAAUUUCUAAGUUAUCCUUGAAACGAAUGUUCCCCAAUGUGAGAAAUGUUCCUUUUUGUGCAAAAAUAUUUAAAUCUCAUUCCUUUUCCUACUGCAUUAUCGGUUUUCACUUUGGUUUGAAAUCCAAGAGAAAAUGGCCAGUAAAAGCAGGUGCCAAACUGAUUUAUGAGAUGCUGGUUGGGUUCCCCCCAACUCCCCACUCCUGAAACAUGAACAAUGAAAUGUGAACUUCAUCUUUAAAUGUAUUUACACAGGUUGUCACUGAUGAAUGCACACUGGUGAAAUAACUACAGGAAUGUUUUUAUCCUGUCACCUCCAGUUGAAACGUUUCACGGAGGCCGUAGUUUUCAACAUGCAGUCGAAAUAGAAGGCUCCACUCCUCCAGCUGAUAGGAGGUGACAGCGUGCCCUUCCGUGCCUCAUUGUCAUCUUAUUAAUAAAAAUGUAAUAAAAGCCCUGAACCCGUCUGGAAUGGGAUUUUAGGUGCUGUUUGUAGAUUUUUGCAGCCUUCAAGUCAUUCUUUGCUGCAUUAGCCUUGUACUGAGGAGGUUCAUUGAAAGAAAAACAUUUGCGCUAUUGAAAAAUAAAUUUUUGCUUCAAUACCGAAAACCACAUUGUAAAAUUUAAAACAUAUUCCGAGGCCCGUGUUCAGAGCCAGACGAUGAAAUGCAGCUCUUUGGGGAGGCGAGUCCACUGCAGAGUGGAUUACAAAGGGAGUGUAAAGAGCCAAACCAGGAGCCCUGCAAGCGCAGGGAGUUGAGGGCUGUGUGCACAGUCUUUCGUGGACGGCCUCCGCGGACUUCACGGCUAAGGCCCUGGGUCGUCGAAGGCAUCCAGCUCACUUGCGUCUUUAAAAUACAUGUCAGUGCUUAAGUCGGGUAGACAGCAGCACUAAUCAUAUUAAGCACAGUGCCUGAACUCGGAGCGAAUGCAUAAUUAAUGCAUUGUUUUAGAGGCCCUCCCGUACCGUCAAGGGCAAGGGCUUCACACACAGUGUGUCCUGCGAGCGAGGAGGAGAGGCCGGUCGGGGCCGCCUGUGCCACCGCGGCCCACUCCGCUCACUAAAUCUGUUUUGUUACACCUCUGAAACGAGCCAAAGCCAUCAGACAACCUCCAUUAAAGUGUUUGCCACGGAGAACUCUCCCUGGGAUAGUAAAUGCUAAUUCAGUGUCAAUUAGAAAAAUGCUUCUAACAAAACGCUGCGAUUAAUAAGGGGUGCUUGUGUUGAUUCAUUGCUGGGUUCCCCCCCCCCAUUCCUUAUAAGGCUGCAUCCUCCAUUACUUUCUAUUUAUGAUUUUAAAUAUGUUUAGCUUGAAGGCACUUUACCAUUUCAUCUUUAUUUUAAAGCGAACCCAAAUGUUUACUUCUCCGUCAAUAUCCAUUUAAACUUAAGCCAUUUGGGUCUCACUAAUUUAAAUUCCUUUAGUCAAACCAUUGAAUAAAAGGUUCAGUAUAAACUCUUGAAUUACUGCAUUCAAACACACUUUUAAAGGUUUUUGAUUUCUCUAAUCCUCUUCUUCAUUUUGAAGAUGUAUAAUGUACAUUUAAAAAAUAAAUCCAGCUUUGAUAAACAUCCUGUUACCACCGCUAAUUAACAGAAACAUAACCCUUUUUCUUUUUGCAACUUUCAGACGUCUCUAGCGGUGUUGAAACUGUAAUAUGGUAUUCUGUACUUGUAUUGGUAUACGUUUUAUAAGCCAUUUAAUUGAACCACAUGUUUUUAACGGUGACGGUGGUCACAGUUCUGUUUUUUUGUGUUUUGAUGAGAAUCGUCUUUGUUAAAUAAGCUCCGUGAUGUGAGGGAGUCUGUGGGCAGGGGGAGGGAUGUCGUCGUGGGCACACAACGGGGUGCAAGCCAGUGGGGUGAGCUGGGUAAUGCUCCUUUGGUAACUUCGUGUUUGAUUCUCUCAAGCUCUUGCAGGAGUAAAAUCUAUAUGUUUUUUGCUCUGUGUCAUGUUUGACUAGUGUUGAAAAUUAUGAGGAAAUAUUUAAGUGUUAAUCAGUGUAAACAUUAUUGAAAUAGGCUACAUCGUAUUGAUUUGGUCUCUGGCUUGUUUUUAGCCUGAGAAGACGUGGAUUGGUAAUGACAGUUCAGCUUUCCUUGAAUGACAGAAUCGUCUUUGGUGCAAAGGACUGAAAGUCCCAGGCCUCACAUUUAAAUCUUUGAAAUGUAAUCUUGGAAGAAAAUAGUGUAAUUUGACCAAGACUCUGGUAUAACUUUGGAAUUAACUUUGGCUCUUUUGACGAGAUUAGUUUUAAGGUAGAUUAUGGAGCAAUGUAUAAAUUUAAGCUAUUUGCUUUCCUUGCUAAACCACCUUCUCUACUCUAGGUGUAUGUUUUUAUAAAUUGAAUGUUUCGAAUAGAUUAUUUUUUGAAGACUAUUCUUCCUGGUACUAACCCUGUGUAAAGUUUUAUACCACUGAGACAUUCUGAUGGCAUUGGCCACAGCUCCACCAUAAUGGGCAUAUUCCAGCUAUUUAUUAUUCUUUACCUCAGUUUUCUCAUAUAUUUACAUACCGCUGGCAAGAGAGGAGAGGUAAGGUAUAGUCUGAUGUAAAGCCUUUUAUAAAUAAAAAUAAGCUGUACUCAGUUAAAAUUUUCCCUACCAAGAAGAAAUUUUAAGAUUACUGCACAACGAUUCCAGUGCAGUAAAUGCAUUCUGCUUAUUAUAUUCAUGUAGGUCAAAACUAAGAAAUUGUCAUUUGAGCUGGUGAGUUCUCGCCAAUAAAAAUUUUAUGUAUAUGAGUGGGCUGCUUUGAGAAUGUAUGCGUUUUGCCCUAUAUUUAGAUUAAAAUAUUAACGUUGUUACUGUCAUUCUGUAUUUAGAAUGAAAAGGGUUUUUUUGGCACCCUUAGAUGUUAUAUUAAUUACAUGCUACUGAGAAGUUAUUAUUUUGCCCUCAAGUAUCAAAACAGUGUAUAACAUGGCCACAUCAAAGGUAGCACCACCUUCAGAAGUGUUUUUAACUUUUUCAAAAGUUGCAUUUUUAAUAGUAAUUUGAAUCUGUGUGUGUGUGUGUCUGUGUGUGUGUGUGGUUUUUAAAUUAUAGCAUGGAACCUCGAAGCCCUAGCCAGUACCUCAAAUUUGUUGCAGAUGCUGUAUAUAAAUCUGAUUUAUCUUUUUUUUUUUUUUUUACAGCAUAGACAUUUUAUGUUUAAUUUUACUCUUUUGGUACCUCUAAUAGUUUAAUAAGCAAUUUCACUGAAGUGAAUUUUUAAAGAGAAAGAUGCGAGAAACAAACUACUGUAUGUAAAAGAAUAGAUUUUAAAACACAAAAGGAUUAUAAAUUAUGUUGUUUUAUCUAGGUUUUAAGGCUAUAAUUUUGAGCAUUUUCAUUUUCAGCUGGUUUUUUUUUUUGGUUUAUCAUACACGAAUGAGAUAAAAUAUUAGUCUGAACAUGCUUCUUUUACCAAGAAAACUAUUCCUACAGUCAAUACAAAAAAUGCUAAAUAUCAGGUAUCUUUUUUCAGUUAUGAUUUGAUGAUAAUAUCUGUGUUCUUUUUAUCAUAUUUUAUAUUUCUGGACAGAAAGUAACUAUUCACAAAUAUUCUUCUGGUCAGAAUAAACUAUCGAAAUUGAGUGACUUAUGAGACAAGUUAUCUGGAAGUCUCCAAAUAGGGUGUGCAUGUAAUAAGGAUGCUCUAAUUCUUUUGCAUGCAUGAAUUCUUUUAAAAACGCUUUCACCUCACAUAGUUCGAUAAUUAAAUAAAAAGGUUAUUGGAGGAGGGGAGCAGGGUGCUUCAAGAGGGGAAGUUAAGUACAUUAAGGGGAUUUAUGAUUGCACAGCUGGACUGAGUUACAGCAGGAGUUCAGAACCCAAACAAAAGUCUUCAGCUUUAAGAAGAGGAUAUCUCCAGGUCCAUUUCAAAAAUCAGUAUUUCUACAUUCAUUUAAAAAAGAAAAAAAAAAAA
rnacentral:lncRNA from 1 species